rnacentral:rRNA from 1 species
AUUGAACGCUGGCGGCAUGCUUUACACAUGCAAGUCGAACGGUAACAGGCCGCAAGGUGCUGACGAGCGGCGAACGGGUGAGUAAUGCAUCGGAAUGUGCCCAGUCGUGGGGGAUAACGCAGCGAAAGCUGUGCUAAUACCGCAUACGAUCUAUGGAUGAAAGCGGGGGACCGUAAGGCCUCGCGCGAUUGGAGCGGCCGAUGUCAGAGUAGGUAGUUGGUGGGGUAAAGGCCUACUAAGCCGACGAUCUGUAGCUGGUCUGAGAGGACGACCAGCCACACUGGGACUGAGACACGGCCCAGACUCCUACGGGAGGCAGCAGUGGGGAAUUUUGGACAAUGGGCGCAAGCCUGAUCCAGCAAUGCCGCGUGCAGGAAGAAGGCCUUCGGGUUGUAAACUGCUUUUGUACGGAACGAAACGGUUCGGGUUAAUACCCUGGGCUAAUGACGGUACCGUAAGAAUAAGCACCGGCUAACUACGUGCCAGCCGCCGCAGUAACAC